rnacentral:lncRNA from 10 species
UUUUUCAUUUUUUUAUUGUGAAGAUUUUUUACCCAGUUGGUUAAUUUUUUCUCAGAAAUUUAUUAUUUAAUGCCUUAGUAAUUGAGUUUUUGUCUUCCUCUACUUUAUUAUUUUUUUGAGAUGGAGUCUUGUACUGUUGGUUGCCCAGGCUGGAGUGCAAUGGCUCAGUCUCGGCUCCCUGAAAUGUCCGCCACCCAGAUUCAAGCUAUUCUCCUGCCUCAGCAUCCCAACUAGCUGGGAUUACAGGCAGCCACCACCACACCCAGCUAAUUUUUGAAUUUUUAGUGGAAACGGGAUUGUAUCAUGUUGGCACACUGGUCUCGAACUCCUGACCUCAAAUGAUUUAACCGCCUCUGCCUCCCAAAAUGCUGGGAUUAGAGGUGUCAGCCACUGUGCCCAGCCUCAUUCUCUAUUUUAUCAGAUAGUUUGUUUUAAGUGUAUGAAACCAUACGUAUUCUUAAAUGCUAAUUUUAUAUUUUGCUAAUUUACUGAGUGUAUUUAAUAGUUUAGACAGGUUUUAAUGUACUGUUUAUGGUUUUUAAACAUAAGAUUGUAUGAUCUACAAACAGCAGCAUUUUGUUUUUCUUCAGGUUCAAAAGAUUUUUUUAUUUUCUUGUCUAAUUCUUUGGCCAAUACUUCCAGUGCUACAUUAAAAUAGAAGCAUUGACAAUGGGCAAAAUAUAGUUUUGUAUUGGUGUCUGAAUUUGAUGGAGCAAACACAUCUUCAUGUUUUUUGUUUUUGUUUUGUUUUUUGUUUUUUUUUGAGAUGGAGUUUUGCUCUCAUUGCCCAGGCUGAAGUGCAAUGGCAUGAUCUCGGCUCACCGCAAACUCCGCCUCCCAGGUUCAAGCAAUUCUCUUGCCUCAGCCUCCCGAGUAGCUGGGAUUACAGGCAUGCACCACCACACCUGGCUAAUUUUGUACUUUUUAGUAGAGACAGGGUUUCUCCACGUUGAGGCUGGUCUCAAACUCCUGAUCUCAGGUGAUCUGCCUGCCUUGUCCCAGCUACUCGGGAGGCUGAGGCAGAGAAUUGCUUGAACCUGGGAGGCGGAGGUUGCAGUGAGCCGAGAUCGUACCACUGCACUCCAGACUGGGCAA